UUUGCUACUCUUAUUUAAACACGUAGCCCUUUUUUUGCUUAAUUACAUUUCUUUUCUUCUCCAUUUUCCAGCGUCUUCUCAUACUUCUUUUUUCUCAUGCACGACACUUUAACCCUUCGAUACUAAAACUCAACCUAAUCGUGGAAUUUUACAUAGUAACUUUUCGAUUUAAUUUCAAUCUCCCGUGAAUCAGUUGCUCUUAGUUUAUCUACGGAAGUGUGAAGAGGAAAAGAAAAGGUAGCAGAUAUACUAAAAACUCCAAAUAAAUCAAAAAUAGACUUAAGAAGUCUUAUCUUGUGAAAUCUACCUUAAGAAAUCUUUCACUUACUAUCAUAAGUACUAUACUACUACAAACACCAAAGAUACACGAGUACUAAAAUACGUCGUCUUUGAAAAGAAGAACCUCGAAGAAAAGUAUCAAAAGAGAUAUAUAACGCCAUAAAGCGUUAAGCCAUAUAGCGUCUAUAACGCUAUAAGUAGACAUACUCGUGUACCUAUACGUAUUUUUUAAAUCUUAUUUUACCUUCGUGUUACUAUUCUAUUAUAUAAUAUUUCUCGACAAUAAUUUUUUGAUACCCUUCAUUCUUCCCAAGAUAUUCGAGUAUCCAGUUAAAACGAACAUACGAUGUUCGAUUCGCUAAACACGAAACAUCUCGUGAUCUAUGCAUACAAUGGCCAUCAACAGAAAAAUGCUCGUAUACAAUGUACCAAUCGAAUCAGCAUAAGCUAUCAACGUGUUCGUACGUCCAUGCCUUUCGGUAUCUAUUGCUAGCGAUGGGAUCAAGUGUAUUGCAAGCAAGUUUGAAUCUAAUUGUAAAGUUUCGUAUGUCUCGCGAAUAAGUACUUUGAGAAAAAGGUGAUUUUAAUCGUAAGAUUAGAUGCAACAGGUUCGAAUAUUUUUAAUAAAAGUAGCUCGAUGAACGAGAGAGGGAUAAGUUACUUUAUAAACGUACAGUGGCGGACAAAAGGAAAUCCGAUAUUAAUACUUGUAUGUAUGACAUUUUUUAUUACGUUAGCGAUAGUUAUCUAUAUUGGUAUAUUAUCUAUUCCUUGGUUCUUUAUCUUUUAAAUUUUCUUUUGUCCGUCAUUGUUUUAUAGGAAAUGAAAUAUCACCUCUUACGAGAUAAUGGUCGAAUCUGGUAAUUGCAAACUUUUACACCGGCAUUGGCUUGGAUUCGCGAUUGCGUAUUGAACUUGAUCCCAUCGCUAUCCAUCGAACGUGGUCUAAGUUUAGUCGUCGUUCACGCGGUCAUCCGUCACUCGAAAUUGGCAGAUCGCAGUCACGGUGCGAUUCUCGUACGGUCAAUUACGUAAACAGGUCCGACGUGGCAGAACGGCUCGGCGUCGCGACGGAAAUAUUUGGCCGGUAAUAACGCGUAGCGUGCUUCCUCGGGUGGUCACUAGCGUUUUCGGCUCCACCCGUUCUGCGCUGCAGCGAUAACUUUCGCAAUUACACGAAUAUGCACGGAGAGAAAUGCCGCGCGUGCCAUGAGAUUUUGAAAUCUAUCCAACCUCGCUACUACCGUUAAACGGAUUGAAAUAAGGGUGGUUUUGUACUUUCGCCCCGUAUCUGACAAUGAAAUAAUAAACGGUGGAUGCGUCGAAUUAGUCGUGAAAUCGUGCAUAAUCUUAGAAUUUAUGAGAUUCUACUAUAGGAAAUCGUCGGAUACUUCUGAUACUCCAAUCGACGACGAAAGAAACGAUAAUUCGAUAAGGUUGGAACGUUAUUAUGAAAAGUGAUGUACGCGUCACCGGUGAACAUGGUGAGAAGAACAGUUACGACACGGUUGACAACGUGGCAAGAUAAUCGAAUAACCGGUGCACCGUAACACCCUUGUUCCCGGUGCAACUGAGCUCACCUGUGUACGUGCCAGACUUUCUUCUAAGGAGCAAGACAGAGGGGGAGGUAGGAGGGAGAGAGAGAGAGAGAGAAAGAGAGGGAGAGAGAAGUUUCAUGGCAAUUCUCUGCCCGCGUCUUAACUCGCGGUAUUACACUUUCAGCUCCAGCGACGCCGCUUUGCUCGAGGAGCCGGUCUUUUCCGGUAUGCGCCAACUAUGAGUUGCAUCGCGAUGCAAACACCAAGUAAUUCAUUCGUACAAAUUUCGAUUACGAGCGGGUGAAAUGUUCGUAGUCGGUGUCAACACAAAAAGAACAAUUUCGCUGGGAUGUUUAAUACACAUGUUGUUCCAAGUUCCACUAGCUAUAUAACGAAAAGUAAAAAAUCAAAUUGUAAGAUAUAUGGUAGGCUACUUUCGAAAUAAGAACGUAAUCCCCUUUAAAAAUCUCUCCGCUAUCGCGGAAAAUAUUCCCUCUUCUGUAAUUAGCCACCCAAUGCUCAUUAUUUCUCAUGCAUGACGCGUCGUUAUUUUCGAACUAAUUAAAAUUCGCUGUUGUUGCGCGGCAAAUUCUCCAUUAUCAGGAAUACAGUUUCAUUCGCAUCGAAUCCCGUUCCGGAAUACGCGGGAGACGCGUAAGCGCGCGGCCGUAGUCCCGUUCGAUUUUAAUUUCCUGACUACUUUUUAACGACUAUGCAGAGAGUAAAAGAGUAAAAAAAGAGUAAAGAAAGAGUAGAACAAAAGGGGAAUAUACUCGCGAGGCGAAGAUUACUGUUGAUAUAUUCGAUCACUGAUUUACCGCAUUUCUAUAUAUUUGGAAAAUAACUUGGUAUUAAUAUUGCUCGUGAUAACUGCUCAAUAUUAAGCCUUAUGGACCUUUUAACUUUUGAAAGUCGGUUGUACCAAACGACUUGGUAGGAAUGCGAAUGACACGUCACGGCGUGUCGUGCGCGCUGGAGUAUCGCGCCGCUGGCUCAUAUUACGUUAUAUUACGAUACUGAUUAUCAAAACGUUAGUCCCGGCGUGUUUGAAUGGAAAUUUCCAGCGCCAGAGUUAUCAAUGAUCAAACACCGAUAAAAGUCGACUCGAGGUACGAUGUGUUCGUCGAUCAUACAGCAGAGAAACGACGAAUAUAAAUCUCCUUCGGACGUAGAAGGUUGCUUUUACGUAGGUGCAAAUUAUCGAAUUGCCUAUGAACAUAAAACGAAAAAUGGUUGAAAACUGAGCUUUAUCAGGGAAAAAUUACAGGUUGUCUCACUUGACCAUAUAGUAGCUUCUAACUAUCUUUGGAAUGUGAAAGAUUAGUAAUAUCAACUGUUUUCAAGCAAUUAUUCUAUUGUUGCAAAUUGCAAAAGAUUUAAGUUAAGGUUUAUGUUUCACCAAUCGUUUGUAUUACUCGUACUAGGAAUAAAUUAGAUACAAUAAUUGAUGGUUCGCGUGAUUUUCAUUCUUUUUAGCAUGAUAGGAACAAUAUUUUAAAAAAUAUAAUAAUAUUUUUUUAAACGAAUAUGGAGAGAAAUUUUUCGGUAUAUCCUACACCUAAUGAAGAUGAAUAUUCUUGUAUCUUGAUAAUUUAUAAUCCAAUGCGGCAAGAUUCUGAUCAAUUUGGGUAAAAGAUGUUACCAUUCAUAAUGGAAAGAGGAUAAUGAAUAUUCCCAUUACAAGGAUGGAAAGUUAUAAAAUUUAUCGCAGAAUGUGACAGUUUCAAUUGUUGGGAAGAUUGCAUGUGAAUUGCAUUGUUCAUUAAUGUGCUCCAAUUCAAGCAGAAACAUACGGCGAUGAAUAGUCAGCAUUCAUUUCUGAGGUAUACGUAAUACUAAUACGCUUUAAAUUGUUACCGUUUCAGUAUUUUUUCAGUCUAUGAGAAUAUUAUACUGUACGAAUAGAAAAAAUACUUCGUAAAUGCUUCGCGGUACUAUUGUGCUAUGUUCGACAUAUUUCAAAAGGUUUAUAUGUAAAAGAAACGAAUAGCCGUUCGCUCGUUCAAUACCUCCCAUUAGAAAUAUCCAUAAUAGGGCAAUUAUUUUGCCAACUAAUUCAUAUCAUGCAUGACUUUUCCCCUACACGAGGAACGUAUGUGACGUUCAUUAGCGUUAUUAUUUUGUCCCAUUAUGAAACUGAUUGACGCAGCAAAAAUACGGACACACCAAAAAAUAAUAAAUUCGAUGGAGCGGCAAGUAUCGAAAUUUUAAUAAAUUCAUUGGAAGGGGGUGAGGAGGUAGGGGUUGGAUGGGACACGUCGUAUAGAUUUCAAGUUGACAAGUGGUGCGCCGGUAUCAAUUUCUAAUUAAUUCCCCGCGGUACGUCAUUAACGUAAAUUAAACGUUUCGUUUGCCGUGCCGCUGACUCGCUCUUUAUUGAAAGAUCGUUAAAUGCUCGAUGAAUUAUCGUUCCGGAAAUUUUGUCGGACGAGUGGGGUCUGUACCGACGAAAGUGCCGCCCUAAAUCAUUAAUGGAAUAUUCGGUGACCACUGGCCGGUACGAGUAAAUGGCAAUUACUGCUUUACGCUUCGUGGCCUGGCUUCGAGUAAUUUUACUCCCUGGAAAUUGGACGUGAUACGAUCCAACUAUGUGCAUGGAUGGUAUCCUGGAUAUAAUGGCGUCGUUAAAAUUUUAUCGUCGCUUGUCUUUUACGGGGGAAUCGGUUUAAGCCUACUGAGAAUUAGAGAAGUGUACGAGGGGUGUUAAUUAAAGCGGUGAAAGAUGUAAGAGGAAAUAUUAUGUCAUGGUGUAAUGCUUCACUUAUGACGAUACACAUAAUGGAGCACAUAAAAGAUUGCACUGAAACCGAGGCACAUCGAGUUUUGAAAAAAGACUGGACAAUCACAGUUGCUGAGUUACAUAGUUUUCUAGGAAUUCUAUAUGCCCGGGGCGCAUAUGAAACGAGAUCAUUGAAAGCUUCCGAAAGAUUACAAACAGAUAAAUUUGCGCUGAUAUCCGAAAUACGGAACAAAUUUAUAAAUAAUAGCCAGGUUUGUUAUAAGCUUUAUGAAAAUAUCUCAAUAAAUGAACAAUUAUUUCCAACGAGAGCCCGAUGUAGGUUUACGCGAUAUAUGCCGAAUAAGCCUCAUAAAUUUGGCAUUAAGUUUUGGUUAGCGGUUGACGUCCAAAUAAAAUAUAUUUUGAAUGGUUUCCCUUAUAUGGGGAAAGAUGAAACUCGAUGCUCAAAAUCGUUGGGCGAGUUUGUAACGUUAAAAUUAGCCAAACCAUAUUUAAACGAGGCAGAAAUAUAACGACAGAUAAUUUCUUUACAAGCAUCCCGCUAUCUAAAAAAUUACUUACAGAAAAGACAACUUUGGUUGAGACCAUCCGAUCGAACAAAAGAGAACUGUCAAGACCAGCGAAG